ACGGAAGGCAGCAGUGGGGAAUAUUGCACAAUGGGCGCAAGCCUGAUGCAGCGACGCCGCGUGAGCGAAGAAGUAUUUCGGUAUGUAAAGCUCUAUCAGCAGGGAAGAUAAUGACGGUACCUGACUAAGAAGCACCGGCUAAAUACGUGCCAGCAGCCGCGGUAAUACGUAUGGUGCAAGCGUUAUCCGGAUUUACUGGGUGUAAAGGGAGCGUAGGCGGUCUAGCAAGUCUGAUGUGAAAACCCGGGGCUCAACUUCGGGAUUGCAUUGGAAACUGUCAGACUAGAGUGUCGGAGGGGUAAGUGGAAUUCCUAGUGUAGCGGUGAAAUGCGUAGAUAUUAGGAGGAACACCAGUGGCGAAGGCGGCUUACUGGACGGUAACUGACGUUGAGGCUCGAAAGCGUGGGGAGCAAACAGGAUUAGAUACCCUGGUA
rnacentral:rRNA from 1 species